CAGCUCCGUCGCGCGGGGAGCGGAGAAGGCAGAGGCGCGGGGCGCCAAGAUGAGUGUUCCGGAUGCAAGAGAAACCAAAAUGGUGUGGCCGUUUACCAAAACCUGCUAAAGCUGACUUCCCUGACAUCUCUGGACCCUUGUGCCGUCCGGGGCAGAAAGGGUGUGGGAUGACAGGCAGGUUAACAGAAAAACCUUGAAGAGGGGACUGGAGGAUUUAGUCGCUCUUUGCUCCCCUCCUGGCAGCCCAGGGUCCUCC
rnacentral:lncRNA from 1 species